rnacentral:rRNA from 1 species
GACGUAGGGCGCGAGCGUUGUCCGGAUUUAUUGGGCGUAAAGAGCUCGUAGGCGGCUUGUCGCGUCGUCCGUGAAAACCUGCAGCUCAACUGCAGGCUUGCGGUCGAUACGGGGCAGGCUAGAGUUCGGUAGGGGGAGACUGGAAUUCCUGGUGUAGCGGUGAAAUGCGCAGAUAUCAGGGAGGGAACACCCGGUGGGCGAAAGGCGGGGUCUCUUGGG